UAGUUAACCAAGUGGAUUAAGGAAUUUCGUGAGCUUUAAGCAUCCUUAGCUAAGAGUUUGAUUUUGAUGCAGGUUGGUACGAGGAUAUGUGAUGAAGGUGUUUACUUUUGUAAUAGACUUUCAAUAAUGUAAAUUAAGUAAUGACAUCUAUAUACAUAUGUUUACAUAGUUAAGCAAGUGAUAGACUACUGAACUUUAGUUAGUUUUUGGUGUAUGUAACCUAAGAGCUCUUAUGAGGACAGCUUUGUAUGCAUUAAGUAAUGUAUAAAGUAUGUUUUUGAGGUAA